CGUUAGCGGCGGACGGGUGAGUAACACGUGGGUAACCUACCUAUAAGACUUGGAUAACUUCGGGAAACCGGAGCUAAUACCGGAUAAUAUUUCGAACCGCAUGGUUCGAUAGUGAAAGAUGGUUUUGCUAUCACUUAUAGAUGGACCUGCGCCGUAUUAGCUAGUUGGUAAGGUAACGGCUUACCAAGGCGACGAUACGUAGCCGACCUGAGAGGGUGAUCGGCCACACUGGAACUGAGACACGGUCCAGACUCCUACGGGAGGCAGCAGAC
rnacentral:rRNA from 1 species